rnacentral:rRNA from 1 species
GGUUAAGUGACUAAGCGUACACGGUGGAUGCCUAGGCAGUCAGAGGCGAUGAAGGGCGUGCUAAUCUGCGAAAAGCGUCGGUAAGGUGAUAUGAACCGUUAUAACCGGCGAUACCCGAAUGGGGAAACCCAGUGUGUUUCGACACACUAUCAUGUCAUGAAUACAUAGUGGCAUGAGGCGAACCGGGGGAACUGAAACAUCUAAGUACCCCGAGGAAAAGAAAUCAACCGAGAUUCCCCCAGUAGCGGCGAGCGAACGGGGAGGAGCCCAGAACCUGAAUCGGCUUGUGUGUUAGUGGAAGCGUCUGGAAAGUCGCGCAGCAAAGGGUGAUAGCCCCGUACACUAAAAUGCACAGGUCGUGAGUUCGAUGAGUAGGGCGGGACACGUGACAUCCUGUCUGAAUAUGGGGGGACCAUCCUCCAAGGCUAAAUACUCCUGACUGACCGAUAGUGAACCAGUACCGUGAGGGAAAGGCGAAAAGAACCCCGGCGAGGGGAGUGAAAUAGAACCUGAAACCGUGUACGUACAAGCAGUGGGAGCACCUUCGUGGUGUGACUGCGUACCUUUUGUAUAAUGGGUCAGCGACUUAUAUUUUGUAGCAAGGUUAACCGUAUAGGGGAGCCGUAGGGAAACCGAGUCUUAACUGGGCGAUUAGUUGCAAGGUAUAGACCCGAAACCCGGUGAUCUAGCCAUGGGCAGGUUGAAGGUUGGGUAACACUAACUGGAGGACCGAACCGACUAAUGUUGAAAAAUUAGCGGAUGACUUGUGGCUGGGGGUGAAAGGCCAAUCAAACCGGGAGAUAGCUGGUUCUCCCCGAAAGCUAUUUAGGUAGCGCCUCGUGAACUCAUCUUCGGGGGUAGAGCACUGUUUCGGCUAGGGGGCCAUCCCGGCUUACCAAACCGAUGCAAACUCCGAAUACCGAAGAAUGUUAUCACGGGAGACACACGGCGGGUGCUAACGUCCGUCGUGAAGAGGGAAACAACCCAGACCGCCAGCUAAGGUCCCAAAGUCAUGGUUAAGUGGGAAACGAUGUGGGAAGGCACAGACAGCCAGGAUGUUGGCUUAGAAGCAGCCAUCAUUUAAAGAAAGCGUAAUAGCUCACUGGUCGAGUCGGCCUGCGCGGAAGAUGUAACGGGGCUAAACCAUGCACCGAAGCUGCGGCAGCGACGCUUAGGCGUUGUUGGGUAGGGGAGCGUUCUGUAAGCCGUUGAAGGUGGCCUGUGAGGGUUGCUGGAGGUAUCAGAAGUGCGAAUGCUGACAUAAGUAACGAUAAAGCGGGUGAAAAGCCCGCUCGCCGGAAGACCAAGGGUUCCUGUCCAACGUUAAUCGGGGCAGGGUGAGUCGACCCCUAAGGCGAGGCUGAAAAGCGUAGUCGAUGGGAAACAGGUUAAUAUUCCUGUACUUGGUGUUACUGCGAAGGGGGGACGGAGAAGGCUAGGCUGGCCGGGCGACGGUUGUCCCGGUUUAAGCGUGUAGGGGGUGUGACCUGGUAAAUCCGGUUGCAUACUAACCCUGAGGCGUGAUGACGAUGCACUACGGUGCAGAAGUAGUUGAUGCCCUGCUUCCAGGAAAA